rnacentral:rRNA from 1 species
GACGAACGCUGGCGGCGUGCCUAACACAUGCAAGUCAACUUGACUGAAGGAGCAAUCUGACAGUAGAGUGGCGCAAGGGUGCGUAACGCGUAAGUAACUUGCCCCAAGGUAAGGAAUAACGUCGAGAAAUCGGCGCUAAUACCUCAUAAUGCAGCGGAUCCGCAUGGAUAUGUUGUUAAAGGUUUACCGCCUUGGGAUAGGCUUGCGUCUGAUUAGCUAGUUGGUGUGGUAACGGCACACCAAGGCUACGAUCAGUAACUGGUCUGAGAGGAUGAUCAGUCACACUGGAACUGAGACACGGUCCAGACUCCUACGGGAGGCAGCAGUGAGGAAUAUUGGGCAAUGCUCGAAAGAGUGACCCAGCAACGCCGCGUGGAGGAUGAAGGUAUUCUAUAUCGUAAACUCCUGUGAGAGCAGACGAAAGACAGAUUAUUAAUCUGGAUGACCGUAUGCUCAG